UGGGGAAUUUUGGACAAUGGGCGAAAGCCUGAUCCAGCAAUGCCGCGUGUGUGAAGAAGGCCUUCGGGUUGUAAAGCACUUUUGUCCGGAAAGAAAUCCUUGGCUCUAAUACAGUCGGGGGAUGACGGUACCGGAAGAAUAAGCACCGGCUAACUACGUGCCAGCAGCCGCGGUAAUACGUAGGGUGCAAGCGUUAAUCGGAAUUACUGGGCGUAAAGCGUGCGCAGGCGGUUUGCUAAGACCGAUGUGAAAUCCCCGGGCUCAACCUGGGAACUGCAUUGGUGACUGGCAGGCUAGAGUAUGGCAGAGGGUGGUAGAAUUCCACGUGUAGCAGUGAAAUGCGUAGAGAUGUGGAGGAAUACCGAUGGCGAGGGCAGCCCCCUGGGCCAAUACUGACGCUCAUGCACGAAAGCGUGGGGAGCAAAGCAGGAUUAGAUACCCUGGUAGUCCACGCCCUAAACGAUGUCAACUAGUUGUUGGGGAUUCAUUUCCUUAGUAACGUAGCUAACGCGUGAAGUUGACCGCCUGGGGAGUACGGUCGCAAGAUUAAAACUUAAAGGAAUUGACGGGGUCAUAGCUGUUUCCU
rnacentral:rRNA from 1 species